CCCAGGACGCUAGACUGGAGCUUGGGCGCCGCUGAGACCCGCAGGCCCUAGGGGUGGAGAGGAAGCCAGAGCCUUUCCUUGUGUUGACGCCCAGCAAGCAGAUCACGUGUAAUAUUAGAUUCCCCUGAGCACGAGUUCUUCUGACCUUCUGGACUCCUUUAUUUUAAUAUGCUUCCUUAAUUUCUUAGGUCAAUGGGAAACAAUGUUCUUGCUCCAACCCCGUAUUGUUUCCUUCCCUGAACCCCAGGAGCGCCUACCUGACAGGGCCAUUUAGCAGAGGUACUUGAAAAGGCAGGAGAACCCUGAAUCAUAGUUAAGACAAACGAGUACAAGAAUGGGUUUGGAUUUCCUCAAUGGUUUCGCUACCUGGGAUUUAUGACAGAAAUGUAAACUCCCAAGCCUCAGGCCACCGCUGAUAAAUGAACAGAUUAGCUGGGCUGGCCAUGUGUGGCUUCAUAGUACUCCAAGGUGAUAGAUAGGUGGAGUCGGCAAACUAUGUCCCAGGUUCACCAGGCUGAACGUUUUCCUUUCCACAACUGAGUUAAGCACGUCCUCAUGCAACCUACCUGGAAUUUAUGAGAAUGCGCUCUCUUUAUAAUAUAGCCAACAACUUUAAUUUAUAAAACGUAGGGUGUCUUUGGAGAAGAGCAAACCUUUGAGAGAUGCUGACCUCAUAAAAGAUGUGAGCUGUGGCGUCUUGAGGAAGCCGUGC
rnacentral:lncRNA from 1 species